UACGUAGGGUGCAAGCGUUAAUCGGAAUUACUGGGCGUAAAGCGUGCGCAGGCGGUUCGACAAGUCCGAUGUGAAAGCCCCGGGCUCAACCUGGGAACUGCAUUUGUGACUGCAAGGCUGGAGUGCGGCAGAGGGGGAUGGAAUUCCGCGUGUAGCAGUGAAAUGCGUAGAUAUGCGGAGGAACACCGAUGGCGAAGGCAAUCCCCUGGGCCUGCACUGACGCUCAUGCACGAAAGCGUGGGGAGCAAACAGG
rnacentral:rRNA from 1 species